rnacentral:lncRNA from 1 species
GAACGUCCUCAAUUAACACAGCAGAAUGGACAUUGAAAAAUAUCCCGAGCAUUAUCUGGAAGAGUAAGGAAUAGAUAGGUUGUCAAAUUCUUACCUUACUUCUUUGGUCGCUCCCUAGGCUCCUCCCCUGUCUAAUGUUGGCCCAACACUUGCGCCAGAGAUGAACUAGAAAGGGCUAGUUGUAUCUGGUGGUUGUAUCUGGAUUCGGACUCAGCCAUGUGGAACAGGGCGUGAGGGGGGUGACUUUCAGAAGAUAACGCUGUGACGCGUGGUGGGCCAAGCUUGGGGAGAGGAGACACGGUGUCGGAAACAGAAGCAGAAACUCUACAAGUCUUGCUUGAACCGAGUGGCAGAAGUGUUGAGUGGUGCAGACGCUAGGGCCUGAGUGUUAUCACUUGUCGCCUACCCCGGCUUGGAAUGGAAGGAGCAGGCUUCUCACGUGACCUACUUUGUUGGAUCACAUGACCAGGAACCAGCUGUAACCUGGUGUCAGGAAGGAGUCCACAAUUGAGUUGAAUUGUGUUAGGAUUGUUAUGUCAGGACAAGAAGCUUGGGGCCGUCUGGAUCCUUACAUACCUUCUUAGUCUUGGGUGGUCUUCUGUGAUGGGAAAACCGGGGUACCUGAGACAGAAAGAAAGGACCAUUCAGGCUCCAGUAGGAAGACAGAACUCCUGACGCCCAGCCCUUCACACUGACACAUCUCCCCCAGCCAUUACUUCCUACUCCGUGGUCAUUACUCACCAUGUCUGGCUGCAGGCGACCCAGGUGCCAUGUGAUAGUCAUCUGAAGACAGGCCUUCUGCACAUCAGGAUCUUACUAUGUCACUCGGGCUGGCCUGAAACUUCUCAUGUAUCCUUGGGUAAUGGCAGCCUUGAACUCAAGAUCCUCCUGUCUCCAGAGUGUUGGGAUUACAGGUAUUGACCCCUGUGAGUGGCUCAUUUGACCCACAAAGAGGUCUCGACCCACAGGCUGAGAACCCCUGGAGUAGAAGAAAAGAAAAUUCUGAGAAUGUGUGGAAGAACGGGUUCUCAGUGCUGCAAUCUCAUCAAAGGGGACAGGACCAUUUACGGACUGUGGCAGAAACCAUGAGUGAAUUCUGAGGCUGCUGAGUUUGCUGAACACUUGUUUGGGGCACUCUGAACUAUAAGGCCCAGGACACAGAGAAGAGGCAUGCAUGGAUGGUAAUUUAAGGACUAGAAUAAAGCCCAAGAAACCUCAGCAACAGAACAAAGGAAGAGCCCAUUACCAGGACCUGUAGG